rnacentral:lncRNA from 1 species
AGAGUUUGCAUGGUCAGUUAAACGGGUAUGAUUAAAUUGCCAUGAAUGCACGCGUGAGCACAUGAAUUGACGGUCAGAUGAAUAAUGCACAUGGGAAAAAAUAAUCAAAAGGGCAAACAGAACACAACGAGUAACCAACACAUUCUCGCUCCUUCUCACUCAGUCAUUAUCUUUGUCGUGCCGGAGGCUCCCUCAGUGGCAGAGAUUCCCCAUAAAUCCCAAUUUUCAAUGCCAAUCUCUCUCUCUCAACCUCUACUUACCGAAGCCAAAAAUUGUUUCCUCCAAUUUCUACACACUCAACCAAAUCGAGCAAUUUUGGCCAAGAACACUAAAUCCUAUAACUUAAAUUAAAUCACAACCAAGCCUCAAAUUGUUCCAAAACCAAAGGGUACCACUCUCCUACCUCUAAACAAUCACUUGGUAACGAAAAUUGGAAAGAAAAAGAUGAAAUUUAGAAGACCUUAUCGGAGCAGAUCGGAGAUGAAGACGAAAACGGAAACUGGGUGUGCUGUAAUCCUUUUCUAUUCUGCUUCUUCUCUCUUCUUUGGUCUUCUUCUUAUCUCUUCUUCAUAUGUUAUUGCUAUUCUUCUAGUGAGGAUGAUUGAGAGUGAAUAGUAGUGAUUGUUGAAAAAUUUAUGAUUGCUCUGAUUGCGUCAAUUUUUGUGACUGGAAUGAAUAGGUGAUGAUUGUUCUGUGUGAUUCUGUGUGUGAUUGAUUGUGUGAGUGAUUAAUCUUAUGAUUGUGUGAUUCUAUGAUUGAGAGAGUAUAAAGAGGGAUUCAAUGAUAAAAUGAUUGGUUAAGUGAUUGAGUGUGUGAUUGUGUGAACUUUUCCACCUCCUUAAUAAUGAAUGAUGAAGAUCAUUUAUAGGGAAAAUGAGUCUUAAUAGAGUUUCUUUAAUUAUGUUCAGUUCUGAAUGUGCACGUUAGUUGAGUCAACUAACUCUGUUAGGCUUCAGAAUUUGUACCCAAAUUUAGUUUGCUAUAACAGUUUGUUAGGGUAUUUUGUUUGUUGUUAUUAUUUAUUUUAUUAUGAUAGUUGUUGAAUGAUUAGUUAGUUACAAUUUUGUUAGAUUUUAGUUAGUUAGUUGUUGUUAUGGCAUGAUUUCUGUUAGGUUAUGAUUCAGUUAGUUGGUGGGAUUAAUGAGUGAAUAUAUUAGUAACUGUUAUAAGAAUACUGUUAUGUUAUAUGUUGAGUUGUUACGACUGAACUCUAUUAAGUAUUUUUCACCCUUGAAUUUCCCUGCUGCUGUUAUACCCUAUUAUUGUUAUGCUUGAUUAUGAAUUUUCGUGCCAUUUUCGUGGACAUAUCUGCUAUGGGCCUUCUCAUUGUUGGGUUGCAACUUGUUGUGAAUUCAUGGUUGUUUAUGUUGAGUUAUGUGUUGGAUAUGAAUGGCUUGCAUUCCCUGAUGUUUAACAUGUUAUGUUGCUGCUAAAGGUGAAAUGUUAUGAUGUUUUGUUGUUUGAAAUGUGUGGAAAUAUGAAUGCAUAGCCUGAUGUUAUAUGAUAUAUGAAUGUUUGUUAUUUCUAAUGUGAUGAAUUUUUUAUGUAUGGACUGUUGUAUGAGCUGCUAUGAGGCUAUGAAUUUGUUGUCAUGGAUGUACAUGAAGAAUGGUUGUUAAUGUGAAUCAAAUAAUGCCAUGCUUGUUUGGUAAUGAUGCUAUGAAUUUUGGGUCAUGUGUGGUAUGUUUUAAUGGUGUUAAUGAUUCAUCAUUGCUUAGAAUAUUUUGCAGGGCUGAAACAUGUGUGCUUGCAUUGCAUUGACCAUGAUUGAAGCUUGGCAUGGAGGUUCAUGAUGGGAACUUAAAGAAAUCCAAAGGUUACCUGUUCAUGAAGAAAUGUGCUUGGUUAUGGAAUCAAAUGGAAAGAAAUAAAGAGAAUGAAGAAUCAAGGGUCAUUAGGGUUAGGGAUGUGGAAAUUAGGUUAGUUGACUCUUUAGUCAACUGGUUAACCAAAAAAUCAACAAUUGACCAAAAGUCAAUUGUAGGUCAAACUUUGAUUUUUUUUUGUAAUUUUUAUAUGGAACUUUGUAAAUAGUGAUUAUAUUAUAAAAUAGACAAUAUUUUGAAUGAGAUGGUCUUUUAUGAUUCAAAGAAACAAAGCCUUAUUUUCAAAUUAUCGUUUUUCCUCCC